AGGAGGAGGCUGUCUCUAUAGCACAAGGUGCUUUGUGCAGGGGAAUAGCUGCAAGAAGGAAGGACCAAUUUGUUCAAGGUGAAUUUCGACUGAUGUUCAGAAGGUUGUGUGUGCUUUCACACGGACCAAGGGUUCAGUGCAUGAGUGACAGACGAGUUCAAGAUUAUUUGUUGUGACCAAGUUGGAUUGCAUUUGUGACAUGGACUGGAAUAUUUUGUGUUGGUCGGAGAUGUGACAGUCAGCAAAAGGGGUGUAUGGGAACGUCUUUAAAAGGUAGCCAUGAAGCCAAGAAAGAAAGGAAAGACAGCACAAUCAUCAACCCCAAAUCCCCCUCCAUGCAUGAAAGAAAAUAAAAAAGAUUGGGUGAAAAACACAGACUAUAAAAAAAACCUAUCAGACUGAAAGAAAAUUCUAUAGUCCAAGUCCACAACCAAAACACAGAAAACCUGUGCAACACUCUCCAGGCACAGCGGCAGGUUCUCCCUGCUCUGGUGCAGGGCAAUCAAAAGGCAGGCAGUCGGCGCUUUCCCUCCACACUAGCCUCAAUACUUAUAUCUCCCUCUUUGAUUCAGUUGGCAAACAAUGGAAGCUUUCAUCAAUGAAAUGGAGUUGAUCAUUGGCUUGUGCCCUGUCCCGCAACCUGCCCACUAUGAGAUUCAUGCACGCUGCCUCUGUAUCCUGGAAUUCUCUCAAAAUUGCAGAGCGCUGGAACACUCAGAUGAUCUUUAAACUUCUGCAUUGGCCUUGAUGUUUCAACCUCCCUCAUCACUUUAAUUAGCAAAAAAAACAGAAGCUUUAAUCAGCAAAAUGAAGUUGUACACUGGCUCCCACGCUGUCCCGCAGACUGCCUGCCAUGAUAUUCCGUCAUGCUACCUCUGCCUCCCGGAAUCCUCUUGAAGGCUGCAGAAUGCUGGAACAUCCAAACAAUCUCCAAACAGAAAAUUACAGGCUCUAAUAGUUCCAGAAUCACAUUUGUGACGAAUACACAUAGAUAAGAUGUUAACUGUCCUGUGUGAUCAGCAGUUGGUCUGCCACCUGUCUUCAAGAGAGAGAUAAGGGACACAAUGAAACAGCACCUGGAGAUGUGUAGAGAGCUGUCUGGAGCGGCUGCCCCUUUGAACCCUGAACUGUUUGAAGUGAUGGACAGGCGAUACCCCAGCAGGGGGAUAAAAAGGGACCGGUUCGCUAAGGCAGGACACACACGACACCCGAGGUAACGAGACCCUGGAGCGGUGCGCCUCUCACGAGUCGGUGGGAAGUAUCGGACAACGCACAGGGUGGAAAGGUACGAUCAGCGGGAACCCGGUGUGUGUCCGCCCUUGCUUGAGUGCCGGGUUCACUGCAGAGGAUCGACCGCAUCUGGAGGAGGGGUCACAGUCGGUGACCUCAGGUGACAUCACCAAGGACCUGCCCAAAAGCUGCUUGUGAGCAAUUAUUGCCGGUCUGUGAGUGGAAGCCGUGUUUGAAUGAUCAGUCGUUCCCGUUCUCUCUCUCCCUCCCCCCACGUUGUCCAUCGCCAUGGCAACGAUUACUGCGAACUGAACUAAAUUGGACUGAACUUUUGUGUCACUUUGAAAUUGGUCAUUUAUCCCUAGACAACGAUAGAGCUUGAUUGCUGUUGUUAUCUUAAUUCAGUGCACAUGUGUGU